rnacentral:tRNA from 1 species
GCUAGUGUAGCUUAAAAUAAAGCAUAGCACUGAAGAUGCUAAGAUGGGCCCUGAGAAGCCCCACGGGCA